rnacentral:rRNA from 1 species
AUUGAACGCUGGCGGCAGGCCUAACAAAUGCAAGUCGAGCGAGCGGCGGACGGGUGAGUAAUGUGUGGGAAACUGCCUGAAGGAGGGGGAUAACUACUGGAAACGGUAGCUAAUAACGCAUACCAUCAGAUGUGCCCAGAGGGGAUUAGCUAGUAGGUGGGGUAAUGGCUCACCUAGGCGACGAUCCCUAGCUGGUCUGAGAGGAGGACCAGCCAGACUGGAACUGGGACACGGUCCUGACGCCUACGGGAGGCAGCAGUGGGGAAUAUUGCCCAAUGGGCGCAAGCCUGAUGCAGCCAUGCCGCGUGUAUGAAGAAGGCCUGCGGGUUGUAAAGUACUUUCAGCGGGGAGGCGUUACCCGCAGAAGAAGCACCGGCUAACUCCGUGCCAGCAGCCGCGGUAAUUC